CAGCCCCCCGAGUGGUGGGGAUGUUUAUUUGGCCUAAAACGUCCGUAGCCGGCUCAGUAAAUCUCUCGUUAAAUUCAGCGUCCUAAGCGUUGGGCUGCGAGAGAGACUGCCGAACUAGAGGGUGGGAGAGGUCAGCGGUAUUUCUGGGGUAGGGGCGAAAUCCAUUGAUCCCAGGAGGACCACCAGUGGCGAAGGCUGCUGACUAGAACACGCCUGACGGUGAGGGACGAAAGCUGGGGUAGCGAAUCGGAUUAGAGACCCGAGUAGUCC
rnacentral:rRNA from 1 species